UACGGAGGGUGCAAGCGUUAUCCGGAUUCACUGGGUUUAAAGGGUGCGUAGGCGGGUAAGUAAGUCCGUGGUGAAAUCUCUGAGCUUAACUCAGAAACUGCCGUGGAUACUAUUUGCCUUGAAUAUUGUGGAGGUGAGCGGAAUAUGUCAUGUAGCGGUGAAAUGCUUAGAUAUAACAUAGAACACCAAUUGCGAAGGCAGCUCACUACACAAUCAUUGACGCUGAGGCACGAAAGCGUGGGGAUCAAACAGG
rnacentral:rRNA from 1 species